AUGUGCUUUUUAUGUGCUUCACUGAUAAUGAUGACAGUGGUGACAGGUGCGAGCGGCCAAGAUUCAGUUUCCCAGGAUCCACUUGAAAAAGCGGUUCAAGAAGGAGAGACUGUAAUCCUCAACUGUAAUUACUCAGCACAGUCCCCUCCUGCAGUGCUCUUUUGGUACAUCCAAUAUCCUGGGGAAGCUCCUGGAUAUUUGCUGAAAAGAUUCAACAAGGAAGAAGGACAAACGUCUCCAGCUUUUUCUGACAGGUUCUCUUCUUCUCUGGACAAAAAGCAGAAAAUAUUUCCCUUAAAUAUCACUGUUGCUCAUGUAUCUGAUUCUGCCGUCUACCACUGUGCGCUGAGUCUCACGCUGAUAAAGAGUUGCAUGGAGCAGGUUGGACGGAGCAAACGGCGUCCCCUAUUUCCCAGUGGAUUUCAUGCAGUCAACACGCUGACGUCAUGGACUGGAGAGUACAGCGGCUGCUGGCCGAUUGGGUGA